rnacentral:rRNA from 1 species
AUUGAACGCUGGCGGCAUGCUUUACACAUGCAAGUCGAACGGCAGCGCGGGGCAACCUGGCGGCGAGUGGCGAACGGGUGAGUAAUAUAUCGGAACGUACCCAGAAGUGGGGGAUAACGUAGCGAAAGUUACGCUAAUACCGCAUACGAUCUACGGAUGAAAGUGGGGGACCUUCGGGCCUCAUGCUUUUGGAGCGGCCGAUAUCUGAUUAGCUAGUUGGUGAGGUAAAGGCUCACCAAGGCGACGAUCAGUAGCUGGUCUGAGAGGAUGAUCAGCCACACUGGGACUGAGACACGGCCCAGACUCCUACGGGAGGCAGCAGUGGGGAAUAUUGGACAAUGGGCGCAAGCCUGAUCCAGCAAUGCCGCGUGGAUGAAGAAGGUUUUCGGAUUUGUAAAGUUCCCUUUCGGCGGGGACGAUGAUGACGGUACCCGNAGAAG